rnacentral:lncRNA from 1 species
AUGAGAACAUAUCACAUGGAACUUUCUUUUGGCUUAUCAGCCAUUGUGUUUGGUCUGUGCAGGUUAAGACUCCUCCCAGGAUCAUGCUCUGAUAACCACAAGCAAUCGGUGAAACUGGACUUCCCCUGGGACAAAACGAAAAAAAUGAGGCAGGCAGAAGCAAAGUUGCUACUCCGAAGUGAUCAAGACGAAAUACAGGAACUCCCAGAAUCCACUGUUCCAAGGCAUGUGCCUGGGGUCCCCCAAACUGCCUCUAUCCCUACGACACCCUCUCUUUGUCACCUCCGUAUUAGGAAAUCUUUUUCUUUGGUCAAGGCUCAACUCAGGGGUCAGCCUUCCCUCAUUCGUCCAAUUAUAAUAUUUUCUUUUUCUUCAAAUUGCUCUGUGUGUGUAGCCUGAGGCCAAACCAGCCUGGUUUCCAUUUGGAGGGAAGCAAACCCCUGCCUGAGAAGGAGACCUUCCCAUUGGCUCUAUGGGCCGUUAGGUAGACUCCUCUGGGAAUGGCCUCCAUGCUUACACUCACUGAGCCGUUAGCCAUUGGCUGCUCUUGGCACUUAAAGAAGGCUGGGAUUCUCGCGAGGGACCAGUUGUGCUCACUCAUCCCUCCCUCAUAAGAUCACAUCAGGACUCUCCUUGGCCUUUCCUGACCAGCUUCCCAGCUGGUUGCCUCCGACUUUAUGGUGGGCCCUUUCCCGCGCCCCGGGGCUACGCCCUGAAGACUCUUCCUUUGACGGCUCCAUUUUCUGGAAAGAAGUUCAUCACAGGAGCUCACGCUUCCAAUUCGGGAACCCUGAGUUGCUUUUACUUGUCUAGUGAUAGAAAACAAUCCGACACUUGGUUCUUCUCGACCAUAUGAUGGUCCAAGACAAUGGAAGGACUCGGGAUAAAAAAUGCCAUCGGCCUCCCGAGACAACAGAUAGAGUCGGGACGCAGAUCGAAGCCGACUGCUUUUACUUUAUUUUAUUCGUGUGUGUUUUUAUUUUGGGGUUUUGGUUUUGUUCGAGAGUCUCUCCCAACGUGACCAAUAUGGAAAUCUAUUUUGCAUGAUUGUACAUGUGUAACAGAUUAAAUUGCUUGUCAAAGCAGAGGGUGGGAGGGAGAGAAUUUGGAUCUCAUAAUUUGGAAAACAUGUUAAAAAUUAUUACAUGUAAUUGGGAAAAAUAAAAACUAUCUACACAUAUAUGUAUAUUUUUAA